CGGCCGCGGGAUUCAAUUAUAGUUUGAUCCUGGCUCAGGACGAACGCUGGCGGCGUGCUUACACAUGCAAGUCGAACGAUGACCCAGGAGCUUGCUCUUGGUGAUUAGUGGCGAACGGGUGAGUAACACGUGAGCAAUCUGCCCUUCACUCUGGGAUAACCUCCGGAAACGGAAGCUAAUACCGGAUAUGACGCACGGAGGCACCUCCUGUGCGUGGAAAGAACUUCGGUGAAGGAUGAGCUCGCGGCCUAUCAGGUAGUUGGUGAGGUAACGGCCCACCAAGCCUACGACGGGUAGCCGGCCUGAGAGGGUGACCGGCCACACUGGGACUGAGACACGGCCCAGACUCCUACGGGAGGCAGCAGUGGGGAAUAUUGCACAAUGGGCGCAAGCCUGAUGCAGCAACGCCGCGUGAGGGACGACGGCCUUCGGGUUGUAAACCUCUUUUAGUAGGGAAGAAGCGAAAGUGACGGUACCUGCAGAAAAAGCACCGGCUAACUACGUGCCAGCAGCCGCGGUAAUACGUAGGGUGCAAGCGUUGUCCGGAAUUAUUGGGCGUAAAGAGCUCGUAGGCGGUUUGUCGCGUCUGCUGUGAAAACCCGAGGCUCAACCUCGGGCCUGCAGUGGGUACGGGCAGACUAGAGUGCGGUAGGGGAGAAUGGAAUUCCUGGUGUAGCGGUGGAAUGCGCAGAUAUCAGGAGGAACACCGAUGGCGAAGGCAGUUCUCUGGGCCGUAACU
rnacentral:rRNA from 1 species